CAGGUACUCCCUCCGUUCGGAAUUACUUGUCGCGAAAAUGGAUGUAUCUAGAACUAAAAUACGUUUAGAUACAUCCAUUUCUGCGACAAAUAAUUCCAAACGGAGGGAGUAGUUG
rnacentral:pre_miRNA from 1 species